AAACAAGGCUAAGACUUGGAAAAUUACCAGAAUCAGUAAUGAAACAGGAAAAGGCUCAGUGCUUUCAGAAGGCUCUUGCUUCCCAAGCAGAUAAAUCCACACAGACAGAACUCGUAGGACAUGAUCUCGCUCUGCAUUACCUUGGACAGCAUGCCUCCCUUAACCUCUCAAAACCUGGGUGCUGCCUCCUGCAGAGCCUCUGUGUUUGAUUAGGAGGAAGUGGAAGACAGGGAGGUGGGUACUCUAACUGUUCCCCUCCACCUCCCUGCUGUGCUCCUGCUCCUCCCCAGCAGCCAGCCAGCACAGAUUAUGGAAGCUGUCUUUGCAGGGAACAGAAUACUGAAGUACUUGAACUUAUUGAACUUUCCAGUCUGAACAUGUUCCUGUCCAAAGUGUUUGUGUGGUUUGCUACAGCGUGAAGUGUGUUGUGUUUUGCUGCCUAAACUGGAAAAUACAUCCUACUUCUGCCUUUGCUCCUUCCCUUGGAGGCUGAUGGACGUCUGCUGUUGUAUUUUACUACUAGGUUAUUUUUUUCCAUUUAUUUAUUUCUUCUCUGAGUUUGUUGUCUCACGUAUACAGGGAAAUAAUAAAAACUUGUACAUAAUAUACA
rnacentral:lncRNA from 1 species